GAUGAACGCUGGCGGCGUGCCUAAUACAUGCAAGUCGAGCGAACGGACGAGAAGCUUGCUUCUCUGAUGUUAGCGGCGGACGGGUGAGUAACACGUGGAUAACCUACCUAUAAGACUGGGAUAACUUCGGGAAACCGGAGCUAAUACCGGAUAAUUUUUUGAACCUCAUGGUUCAAAAGUGAAAGACGGUCUUGCUGUCACUUAUAGAUGGAUCCGCGCUGCAUUAGCUAGUUGGUAAGGUAACGGCUUACCAAGGCAACGAUGCAUAGCCGACCUGAGAGGGUGAUCGCCCACACUGGAACUGAGAAACGGUCCAGACUCCUACGGGAGGCAGCAGUAGGGAAUCUUCCGCAAUGGGCGAAAGCCUGACGGAGCAACGCCGCGUGAGUGAUGUAGGUCUUCGGAUCGUAAAACUCUGUUAUUAGGGAAGAACAUAUGUGUAAGUAACUGUGCACAUCUUGACGGUACCUAAUCAGAAAGCCACGGCUAACUACGUG
rnacentral:rRNA from 1 species